rnacentral:rRNA from 1 species
GACGAACGCUGGCGGCGUGCUUAACACAUGCGAGUCGAACGGAAAGGCCCCUUUGGGGGUCCUCGAGUGGCGAACGGGUGGGUAACACGUGAGUAACCUGCCCUUGACUUCGGGAUAACUUCAGGAAACUGGGGCUAAUACCGGAUAGGAAUCCUUGCUGCAUGGUGGGGGUUGGAAAGCUUCGGCGGUUUUGGAUGGACUCGCGGCUUAUCAGCUUGUUGGUGGGGUAGUGGCUUACCAAGGCUUUGACGGGUAGCCGGCCUGAGAGGGCGACCGGCCACAUUGGGACUGAGAUACGGCCCAGACUCCUACGGGAGGCAGCAGUGGGGAAUAUUGCACAAUGGGCGGAAGCCUGAUGCAGCAACGCCGCGUGCGGGAUGACGGCCUUCGGGUUGUAAACCGCUUUCAGCAGGGGCGAAGCUUGUGGUGACGGUACCUGCAGAAGAAGCACCGGCUAACUACGUG